GUUUCAUUUUGUGAUUUGUGUUAUAUUAUUAUUAUCAUUAUUUUAAUUAUUAUUAUUGUUGUCAUUGAGCUCUAGCUCUGACAAUCAUCAAGAAGGAGGGUAUAAAGCCAGGAAGGUCUGCCUGAAAGGCUAAACUUAGGGAAUGAACGUACCUAGUUUCUAACUGUCAUAGUAGGCUGUACCAUUCCUAGUGUUCCUGUGUGUCUGUCCCCUGUUAGUCUCCUUGUGUGUGUGUGUGUGUGUGUGUAUGCUGUGGUUACUUGGUAAGUUACUGCCAAUCAGCAACUGACACACCUGCGAACCAUCUACUGCUGCUCACCUGUUCUCCAUCCACAGUCACAUCUGACAGUAUAUCUACCCGGCUCUUCCCACCAGUCUUCGCCAGCUCGUCCGUUUACCUCAGUGGUUCGCUCGUGUCACCUGCUCCCGCGUUGCCCACCGGCUUUCCAGGAGGACUUCACCACAGCUCUCACCUGACUUGCCUCGGACCGCAUUCCUGCCUCAGCCUGCCUGCUCUCCUCAGCCUCUGUCUCCAGCCCACCGGCUUCCAGCCUUACCCCCGCACUCCUGGUUCCUCAUGGUGUGUUCUUGUAAAUAAACGGAACCUACUACUGCA